AUUGAACGCUGGCGGCAGGCCUAACACAUGCAAGUCGAGCGGGGUUUUCGGACCUAGCGGCGGACGGGUGAGUAAUGCGUAGGAAGCUGCCCGAUAGAGGGGGAUACCAGUUGGAAACGUCUGUUAAUACCGCAUAAUGUCUACGGACCAUAGUGUGGGACCUUCGGGCCACAUGCUAUCGGAUGCGCCUACGUGGGAUUAGCUAGUUGGUGAGGUAAUGGCUCACCAAGGCGACGAUCUCUAGCUGGUUUGAGAGGAUGAUCAGCCACACUGGAACUGAGACACGGUCCAGACUCCUACGGGAGGCAGCAGUGGGGAAUAUUGGACAAUGGGCGCAAGCCUGAUCCAGCCAUGCCGCGUGUGUGAAGAAGGCCUUCGGGUUGUAAAGCACUUUCAGCGAGGAGGAAGGGGUGUGUGUUAAUAGUACACACCUUAGACGUUACUCGCAGAAGAAGCACCGGCUAACUCUGUGCCAGCAGCCGCGGUAACAC
rnacentral:rRNA from 1 species